rfam:Rattus norvegicus chromosome 7, whole genome shotgun sequence.
GGGGACUUAGCUCAGUGGCAGAGCGCUUGCCUAGCAAGCACAAGGCCCUGGGUUCGGUCCCCAGCUCCG